UAUCCGCCAGGGUACUACGAGCAUAGCUUAAACCCAAAGGACUUGGCGGUGUCUCAGACCCACCUAGAGGAGCCUGUUCUAGAACCGAUAACCCCCGUUAAACCUCACCACUUCUUGUUAAUCCCGCCUAUAUACCGCCGUCGCCAGCUUACCCUAUGAAGGCAAAACAGUAAGCAAAAUGGACAAAACCCAAAACGUCAGGUCGAGGUGUAGCGCACGAAGUGGGAAGAAAUGGGCUACAUUUUCUAUUGCAGAAAUCACGAAUGGUUUACUGAAACACAUGCCUGAAGGAGGAUUUAGUAGUAAAAGCAAUAGAG
rnacentral:rRNA from 1 species